CCGCCGUGUCGGAGCAGCUUUGUGCCUGCUGUAACACCGGUAGCACCUCGCAAGUGUGACCCACCCUUGCUCUCUGCAGAAAGGAGGUGAAAAGUGCCUGAUUUUUGGAUUUUGUGGGGGUGAGCGUGGAGCUCACCGUGGCUUGCUUGAUUUAAAUGUACGACUUUCUUGGUGACUCUGUUAGAAGAGGUGAAUGACAGAAACGUGCCUAGGAGAAGAAGGUGUUUGGAUUUGCCAUGGUCCAGAGCUCCUGUGUGAGUGCCCUCCAAUUGCAUUGCUUUGGUACCAUCUCACUUCUGCAAAAGGCAAUUUUGUUAAAUGUAUCCCCAAAUGCACUGAUGAAGUUAUAACUGCUUGGCAAAGGCUUGGAGACAAAGAUACUGCUGUGAAAAAUGAGUCUUGUCAAAAGAAAACUGAUUUGCAGCUGCUAAGACCUAGGGGGGAUGCUGUCUACCCUUGUUGCCACCAACGGAAGCAUAAAGUGGUGACUUUGCAAGAAAAAAAAGGAAAGAUGAAGGAAGGAAUUUCUUCAGUUAAGCAUUUCUCUGGAAGAAAUUGGAAGAAGCACAUUUCUACAACAGCUAACUGAGCAAGAAGAAACAAAAAAGAGCAACUGCCAUUGUUUCAGCCGAGCCUAGCAGUCCGUGUCUGGAUUGCUUGUUGUAAUUCAAGUGCAGGUUUUAAUAGGAAUAAAACCACAUUGGUUUGAAUGCCCUGAAUACCA
rnacentral:lncRNA from 1 species